rnacentral:rRNA from 1 species
UUGGAGGGCAAGUCUGGUGCCAGCAGCCGCGGUAAUUCCAGCUCCAAUAGCGUAUAUUAAAGUUGUUGCAGUUAAAAAGCUCGUAGUUGAAUUUCGGGGUCAGUAGGUUGGUCAUGCCACUGGUAUGUACUGGUCUCACUGAUUCCUCCUUCCUGAUGAGCCGUAAUGCCAUUAAUUUGGUGUUGCGAGGAAUCUGGACUGUUACUUUGAAAAAAUUAGAGUGUUUGAAGCAAGCUAACGCUUGAAUACAUUAGCAUGGAAUAAUGAAAUAGGACGUUCGAUCCUAUUUUGUUGGUUUCUAGGAUUGACGUAAUGAUUAAUAGGGAUAGUUGGGGGCAUUAGUAUUCAAUUGUCAGAGGUGAAAUUCCUGGAUUUAUUGAAGACUAACUACUGCGAAAGCAUUUGCCAAGGAUGUUUUCAUUAAUCAAGAACGAAAGUUAGGGGAUCGAAGACGAUCAGAUACCGUCGUAGUCUUAACCAUAAACUAUGCCGACUAGGGAUCGGAUGAUGUUAAUUUUUUAAUGACUCAUUCGGCGCCUUACGGGAAAC